rnacentral:tRNA from 1 species
GGCUGCGUGGCAGGGGGCGCAUGCUCAGCCGUUUCGCGGACCGCGAAUGUGGAUCUCGGCGUUCGAACUGUCCGUUGCCUCC